UUUCUUGGGGCCUGAUCCAAAGCCCAUUGACAUCAAUGGGCAUCUUUCCAUUGACUUCAGUGGACUUUGGAUCAGGUCCUGGGUAG
rnacentral:pre_miRNA from 1 species